rnacentral:rRNA from 1 species
GAUGAACGCUGGCGGCGUGCCUAAUACAUGCAAGUCGAGCGAAUGGAUUGAGAGCUUGCUCUUAUGAAGUUAGCGGCGGACGGGUGAGUAACACGUGGGUAACCUGCCCAUAAGACUGGGAUAACUCCGGGAAACCGGGGCUAAUACCGGAUAACAUUUUGAACCGCAUGGUUCGAAAUUGAAAGGCGGCUUCGGCUGUCUCUUAUGGAUGGACCCGCGUCGCAUUAGCUAGUUGGUGAGGUAACGGCUCACCAAGGCAACGAGGCGUAGCCGACCUGAGAGGGUGAUCGGCCACACUGGGACUGAGACACGGCCCAGACUCCUACGGGAGGCAGCAGUAGGGAAUCUUCCGCAAUGGACGAAAGUCUGACGGAGCAACGCCGCGUGAGUGAUGAAGGCUUUCGGGUCGUAAAACUCUGUUGUUAGGGAAGAACAAGUGCUAGUUGAAUAAGCUGGCACCUUGACGGUACCUAACCAGAAAGCCACGGCUAACUACGUGCCAGCCGCCGCGGUAA